CCUACGGGAGGCAGCAGUGAGGAAUAUUGGUCAAUGGACGAGAGUCUGAACCAGCCAAGCAGCGUGAAGGAUGACUGCUCUAUGGGUUGUAAACUUCUUUUAUAAAGGAAUAAAACGAGGCACGUGUGCCUUUCUGCAUGUACUUUAUGAAUAAGGAUCGGCUAACUCCGUGCCAGCAGCCGCGGUAAUACGGAGGAUCCGAGCGUUAUCCGGAUUUAUUGGGUUUAAAGGGAGCGUAGAUGGGUUGUUAAGUCAGUUGUGAAAGUUUGCGGCUCAACCGUAAAAUUGCAAUUGAUACUGGCAGUCUUGAGUACAGUUGAGGUAGGCGGAAUUCGUGGUGUAGCGGUGAAAUGCUUAGAUAUCACGAAGAACCCCGAUUGCGAAGGCAGCUUACUAAACUGUGACUGACAUUGAUGCUCGAAAGUGUGGGUAUCAAACAGGAUUAGAUACCCUAGUAGUC
rnacentral:rRNA from 1 species